ACUAUGCCCGGCUAAUUUUGUAGUUUUAGUUGAGAUGGGUUUCUCCAUGUUGGUCAGGCUGGACUCGAACUCCUGACCUCAGGUUAUCCGCCCACCUCGGCCUCCCAAAGUGCUGGGAUUACAGGCAUGAGCCACUGCGCCUAGUCUAAACGUUUCAAUACUCACAGAUAUCUGUGCAAGGUAGGCACACAGUUUUAUCUACCUACCUUAUGUUUGUGUGACACUAUCACAAAUUCAGGCUGUUAAUGGCCCAACCUGAUCUGUAGCAACAUCCUGUGAAUAAGUCUUAUAGCCUCUGAUCCAUCCUAUCCAUUGUAACCAUUUUGUCAGAUCAAACUUCCUGACAUAAAAUUUCCCUUAUCAAAAGUUAAUGACAGCAGGGCACGGUGGCUCACGUCUGGAAUCCCAGCUCUUUGGGAGGCUGAGGAAGGAGGACUGCUUGAGCCCAUGAGUUCAAGACCAAUGUGGGCAACACAAAGACAGUGAGACCUUGUAAAAAAAAAAAAAAAAAAAAAAAAAAGACUUUCACUGUUAACAAAAAACAAAACAACAAAAUCCUCUAGAAUUCUUUCCUAAGUCCCUAGUUUUAUUUUUACCACUAUGUCCCAUAAAUCCUUUUCUUCUUAAGUGCCUUGUACUUUUGGUAUGUAUAUAUUGCACCUAAUAUUGCUAAAUGAUCCCUUCUUUUUGUGGAGUAUCUGUUCUUCAAAGUUUAGCUCAAGUAGCAUCUCCUCCCUGGGCUUUGAUCAUUACAGAAGGAAGAGAUCCCAACCCAUUCUGAACAUAUGUGAUGCUAUCUAAAUCACUACCUUAAAAUUCUCUUCCCUGUUUGGUAGUCAUAUGUAGUAUGUAAUACUGCAAAUAUAACUUUCUACAACGAUGAAACCGUUCUCUAUCUGUGCGUCCAAUAUAACAGCCAGUAACCACAAGUGACUACUGAGCAUGUAAAAUGUGACCAGUGCCUACAUAUUAGACAGUGUGGUCUUGGAGGGCAAUACAUUAGGUUUCUGAUGCAUAGAAUAUUUACUGAGAAAUAAUUAUGUUCUAGGCCCUGUUUAAACAUUUUAUACCUAUCAUUUCACUAAUGCUUUUCUAUUAUCAUUCUGUUUCUAAGAUAAAUAAACUGAGUCCAAGAAAGUUUAAAUAACUUGCAUCAAGUCCUAAUUCUUUGGGAUUAACAACGAUGACAAUCCACAGAUUAUUGCAGUAAGAAUAUUAGAAAAUAUGACAAGGAGCUCAGUAAAUCAUUAAACAGUAUUCCUAAGAUAGUUAUUUUAUCUUCUUUUGGUGUCUCUUACAACGUCUAGCACAUCACUUUGUACGUAGUAACUAUAACUGAAUCAAAUGAUAAUUUUACAUGGCUUAUAGUCUUCUACACUUGUACAUAAUGUUUUCUAAAAUCAGAGUAUAAAUUGAA
rnacentral:lncRNA from 1 species